AGCNAUUCCUUGAAAAGGAAAAGGGCCCGGGGCAAGACCCGGGUGGCCCNAACGCACCCAGACGGUNAUAACCGGCGGCAUCGAAGUGGUGACUCACAUNUUAAUUGGGCUUUAAAGCGUUCCGUAGCGGGACUCGUUACAGUCUCCCCGGGAAAUCCUCAGUCAGCUCAACCUGUACGUGAGGGCAUUUUUCGAGAGAUACUGGCGCAGUACUAUGGAACCGGGAGAGGUAAGAGGGUACUUACGGGGGUAGAGAGUGAAAUUCUUGUAAUCCCCCUGAGGGACCCACCCAAUUGGCGAAGGCAUNCUUACCAGAACGGGUUCGACAGUGAGGAACAGAAAGCUGGGGGNAGCGAACCGGAUUAGAUACCCCGGUAGUCCCAGCCCGUAAACGAUGCGCGUUAGGUGUAAUGCGAUGUACGCACGACGCNGAUGCUNGUGGGUGNCCGUAAGGAAACCCCGUGAAACGACCGCCUGGAAGUACGGGNUCAGGCUAACUA
rnacentral:rRNA from 1 species